rnacentral:rRNA from 1 species
AGCGGCGGAUGGGUGAGUAACACGUGGGGAACCUGCCCCUAAGUCUGGGAUAUCAUUUGGAAACAGGUGCUAAUACCGGAUAAUAAAGCAGAUCGCAUGAUCAGCUUUUGAAAGGCGGCGUAAGCUGUCGCUAAGGGAUGGCCCCGCGGUGCAUUAGCUAGUUGGUAAGGUAACGGCUUACCAAGGCGACGAUGCAUAGCCGAGUUGAGAGACUGAUCGGCCACAUUGGGACUGAGACACGGCCCAAACUCCUACGGGAGGCAGCAGUAGGGAAUCUUCCACAAUGGACGCAAGUCUGAUGGAGCAACGCCGCGUGAGUGAAGAAGGUUUUCGGAUCGUAAAGCUCUGUUGUUGGUGAAGAAGGAUAGAGGUAGUAACUGGCCUUUAUUUGACGGUAAUCAACCAGAAAGUCACGGCUAACUACGUGCCAGCAGCCGCGGUAAUACGUGGGUGGCAAGCGUUGUCCGGAUUUAUUGGGCGUAAAGCGAGCGCAGGCGGAAAAAUAAGUCUAAUGUGAAAGCCCUCGGCUUAACCGAGGAACUGCAUCGGAAACUGUUUUUCUUGAGUGCAGAAGAGGAGAGUGGAACUCCAUGUGUAGCGGUGGAAUGCGUAGAUAUAUGGAAGAACACCAGUGGCGAAGGCGCUCUCUGGUCUGCAACUGACGCUGAGGCUCGAAAGCAUGGGUAGCGAACAGGAUUAGAUACCCUGGUAGUCCAUGCCGUAAACGAUGAGUGCUAAGUGU